GAGCGAGCCGUGGGGAGCAUGGUGGUAACCAGCCUUUUCCCACAGUCCCUAGUCCAGUUCCUGCCUCCGAGUUCCUGCUCUGCUUGUGAGCCUGCCUUGGUUGUCCUCAGCGACGGACCAUUAUCAGGAAUAUAUAGAGUGUCUCUAUGCUCUCACAAGAGGAGGACCUGUGAAACAGGGCAGAACUGACUAUCUCAGACUUGACCUGAAAGAUCCCUGUGAGUCAGACAGCGAGAGCCUGGUCCUGAUUCCUCCGUCCAGAAGCAGUUGUGAAACUUCUGGAAACCACAGUUCCUGUGUCCCCAUCAACUGCAGCACACACCCAGCAGGUCGGCCACUGAUGUUUCGUCUGGCCUGCAGUCAGCCUGAGAGUUAAGAAAGGGCUCUGCCUCAUCCAUCAAUCCUUACCCUGUGCCCAGAUCUGGCCUGCACACAGGGGUGCGCUAUACAUCUCUGUGGUGAGGAACUCAGCCUGUCAAUCCCCACCUGCAUCAGAGUAAGGAAGCUGCAAAGAAACUCUCUGCUAGGAGAGAGCUCAGCAACCCCACCUUGAUGUCAAGCUAACAUGCAAAACUGGCCCCGGGUCUGAGAUAUAAGAAAGACUUGGGUUUCGAACUUCAAAGAACAGCCAGGACUCCGGUGAGCAGGAUCCAUGGUUUCUUUGAAAGUCACUCUUAGGAACAAAUGAAGGAGAGAAGCUAAGUGGUGGCUGUCGAUCUGAGAAGUGCCAGGUUCCACCUGGGCACCUCACACACUGCAUCUCCGUGAGCUUUGAAGAAUGUGGGAAGCACCUGCCUUAUGGGGAUUGGAAGAGCAAAGGCUGACAGGUCUGCGGUGGUCCCGGGAUACAGGUCAGCUGUUCAGAAGUGUGCCCAACAUGUUAAAUGCUGGUUUCCUGGGCUCUCUGCCACUCUCAUCUCAGAGAUCUUGGGGCCUGAGUGUGAGAGACAAGUAACAGAAAGAUGAACGGAGAAGGACAAAUACAGUGGAUGCACUAUUUAUUUCCUGGGACCUUGCUUCUGUUGUACCUUGUUAAUCCUACGCUGUGGGUUGAAUUGAUGCUUUACAAGCUCACAAUAUACAGUUUUAUGAGUCC
ensembl:antisense Gm15412 predicted gene 15412